rnacentral:rRNA from 1 species
AGAGUUUGAUCAUGGCUCAGAGCGAACGCUGGCGGCAUGCUUAACACAUGCAAGUCGCACGGGCACUUCGGUGUCAGUGGCGGACGGGUGAGUAACGCGUAGGUAUCUGUCCUGAGGUGGGGGAUAACUGUGGGAAACUACAGCUAAUACCGCAUGAUGACUGAGGUCCAAAGGCGCAAGUCGCCUUGGGAGGAGCCUGCGUACGAUUAGCUAGUUGGUGGGGUAACUGCCUACCAAGGCGACGAUCGUUAGCUGGUCUGAGAGGAUGAUCAGCCACACUGGGACUGAGACACGGCCCAGACUCCUACGGGAGGCAGCAGUGGGGAAUAUUGGACAAUGGGCGAAAGCCUGAUCCAGCAAUGCCGCGUGAGUGAAGAAGGUCUUCGGAUUGUAAAGCUCUUUCGACGGGGACGAUGAUGACGGUACCCGUAGAAGAAGCCCCGGCUAACUUCGUGCCAGCAGCCGCGGUAAUACGAAGGGGGCUAGCGUUGCUCGGAAUGACUGGGCGUAAAGGGCGCGUAGGCGGUUUGUACAGUCAGAUGUGAAAUUCCUGGGCUCAACCUGGGGGCUGCAUUUGAUACGUAUGGACUGGAGUGAGGAAGAGGGUCGUGGAAUUCCCAGUGUAGAGGUGAAAUUCGUAGAUAUUGGGAAGAACACCGGUGGCGAAGGCGGCGACCUGGUCCUUUACUGACGCUGAGGCGCGAAAGCGUGGGGAGCAAACAGGAUUAGAUACCCUAGUAGUCC